CUAGAUGUUACCUUCAUUCUGGACAGUGGAGAUCGGAAAAUAUUUCUCCGGCAAGGUUUCGUGCAUGUUGAACAGUAGCUCGUCCAUUUUCAGGGAAAGCUGUGGGGACUGGACAAUUGCAUGGAAUGGCAACACGUGCACCUAUUCUAGGUAGGUGAUUCAUCACCUUAUUUUGUAAUUAUUAGUUUUUCUUAAAUAUUUGUGUUGUGUGUUUAAUUGAUGUUAAAAGAAUGAAACAAAUGAAUAAGUUGAGUGAUUAUUACAAA